rnacentral:rRNA from 1 species
GACGAACCGAGCGACCGUUGUUCGGAAUUAUUGGGCGUAAAGCGCGUGUAGGCGGCUUUGCAAGUCGGGUGUGAAAUCCCUCAGCUCAACUGAGGAAGUGCGCCCGAAACUGCAGAGCUUGAGUACCGGAGAGGAUGGCGGAAUUCCCCAAGUAGAGGUGAAAUUCGUAGAUAUGGGGAGGAACACCGGUGGCGAAGGCGGCCAUCUGGACGGAUACUGACGCUGAGACGCGAAAGCGUGGGGAGCAAACAGG